GAACCCUUGGCACAGUGGUAGCGCGUGAGAUUCCAGUUGGUGGAGCAUUAUCUUCCCGAGGGAACUCCUCAAGGUCGUCCGUUCGAUCCGGGCAGGGUUCA